UUAUGUUAAAUUAAUGGCCUUUGGACAUCAAAUGUAAAUGUCUCGUCAUUGACCCAGAUACUAGUUAGUUAGUUAGAAUUUGCUCGCAAAACUACUUCCAGCUUCCUUCAUACUGGAUGCAAAGACAUAAAAAUGGUGGUAUCCAUGAGUUUAUCUGACUCUGAGGAAGUAGAUAAAGGGCUUCAUUGCCAAAAUCACAAAGUAUCCCUUUAAGGUCCUUGCAGGCCCAGGGAAGUGUGUGUGUGUGUGGACGUGUUUAGUUAUUCUUGUGGGGACCAGAAAUCCCCGCAAGAAUAGUAAACAAACAAAAAUUUGACCAACUGGGGACAUUUUAUUAGUCCCCACAAGGUCAAAUGCUAUUUCUAGGGGGUUUAGGGUUAAGGUUAAGUUUUUGGGUUAGGGUUAGGGCAAGAGUACGGGUUAGGUUUAGGGCUUAGGGAAAGUAUGAUUUAUUAUGACAGAAUUGUGUGUCCCCACAUGGUUAGCUGUUCAAGACUGUGUGUGUGUGUGUGUGUGUGUGUGUUUACUUUUUGUCAUUGUCCUGAUAAAUCACUUUGUUCUGGCUCAUGACUGAUGAUAAAUCACUCUGUUCUCCAACUCAUGAUCAAUGACUGAUGAUAAAUCACUCUGUUCUCCAACUCAUGAUCAAUGACUGAUGAUAAUUUACUCUGUUCUCUGCGAAAGGGAAUCUGGACUUGCACUCGUAUGUGUACAACCCUACAAACUCUCACACUGUUCAGUUAACUCGUGAUGCUAUAUUUGUUAUAAAUGUUUGUUAGACAUAAUUGGCUGUGUAGAUACUCACAGAGAUUAAUUUAUUAUGAGUUCACAAAUUAGUCAUGGUACAUACAGUGCCUUCAGAAUGUAGUCAUACCCUUUAACUUAUUCCACAUUUUGUUGUUACAGCCUGAAUUCAAAAUGGAUUAAAUAAAUAAAAAAUCUCACCCAUCUACACACAAUACCUACCCUAUAAUGACAAAGUGAAAACAUGUUUUUAGACAUUUUUGCCAAUUUAUUGAAAAUUAAAUACAGAAUUUUACAGAACACUUCCCUGGGCCUUCAAGGACCUUAAAGGGAUACUUCGGGAUUUUGGCAAUGAAGCCCUUUAUCUACUUACAUAAGUAUUCACACCCCUGAGUCAAUACUUUGCAGAAGCACCUUUGGCAGUGAUUACAGCUGUGUCUUUCUGGGUAAGUCUCUACAAGCUUUACACAACUGGAUUGUGCAACAUUUGCCCAUUAUUCUUUUCAAAAUUCUUCAAGCUCUGUCAAAUUAGUUGUUGAUCAUUGGUAGACAACCAUUUAAGGCAAGUAGAUUUAAGUCACUGGAACUCAGCCAAUCAGGAACAUGCACUGUCUUCUUGGUAAGCAACUCAAGUGUAGAUUAGGCCUUGUGUUUUAGGUUACUGUCCUGCUGAAAGGUGAAUUCAUCUUCCAGUGUCUGGUGGAAAGCAGACUGAACCAGGUUUUCUAGGAUUUUGCCUGUGCUGGACUCCAUUACGUUUAUUUUUUAUCCUGAAAACUCCUUAGUCCUUAACGAUUACAAGCAUACCCACAACAUGAUACAGCCACCACUAUACUUGAAAAAAUGGAGAGUGGUACUCCGUAAAGUGUUGUAUUGGAUUUGCCCCAAACAUAACACCUUGUUUUGGAAUAUGUUUAUUCUGUACAGGCUUCAUUCUUUUUACUCUGUCAAUUAGGUUAGUAUUGUGGAGUAACUAAAAUGUUGUUGAUCCAUCCUCAGUUGUCUCCUAUCACAGCCAUUAAACUCUAACUGUUUUAAAAUCACCAUUGGCCUCAUGGUGGAAUCUCUGAACGGAUUUUUUCCCUCUUGCAACUGAGUUAGGAAGGACGCCUGUAUCUUUGUAGUGACUGGGUGUAUUGAUACACCAUUGAUAGUGUAAUUAAUAACUUCACCAUGCUCAAAGGGAUAUCCUAUCUUUAUUUUUUCAUUUUUUUACCCAUCUAUCAAUAGGUACCCUUGUUUGCAAAGCAUUGUAAAAUCUCCCUGGUCUUAUGGUUGAAUCUGUGUUUGAAAUUCGCUGUUCGACUGAGCGACCUUUACAGAUAAUUGAAUGUGUGGGGUACAGCAAUGAGGUAGUCAUUAAAAAAUCAUGUUAAACCCUAUUAGUCCAUGCAACUUAUUAGGAAUUCAUAUAGGCUUGCCAUAACAAAGGGGUUGAAUACUAAAGACAUUUCAGCUUUUCAUUUUAAUUAAUUUGUAAAAAUGUCCUAAAACGUAAUUCCAUUUUGACAUUAUGGUGUAUGGAAAAAGUCAAAGGGUGAGAAUACUUUCUAAAGGUACUGUAUAACUUAACUAAGGCCACCAACCAAACCCAAGUGGCAUAUUUGUAUUUACACAGAGAUAAAUAAUAGAUGAAUGUUUACAGUUAUUAUAAAUUAUUUUGUAAUUUUCAUAAUGAAAAUAUAUAUUUGAGAUAAUAUACAGUAUCACUUUAGUUGGCAAUAACAAUAUUGAAACAGUUGUGGUUACUAUGACUGAAUGUGACAAAGCCAAGGCACAUAUCAAUACAGUUAAAAUACGUAUGAAAAAACCAUGUAUUAGGAUGCCAACGUACAAUCUGUUUACUGUAUGAACAAGAUAGGUUUUCAAGUAUUUGCCCAGGCUCUUAGUUUUGUCUGUUUGUUGUCGUCAUGUUGUAGAACCUCGUGCAUUCCAAUAAAGAAAUCCUUUGUAAUACUACUGGGAAAACUCAAUAA
rnacentral:lncRNA from 1 species